rnacentral:rRNA from 1 species
UGCGGGGGGGGCAAGCGUUGUUCGGAAUUACUGGGCGUAAAGGGCUCGUAGGCGGCCAACUAAGUCGGACGUGAAAUCCCUCGGCUUAACCGGGGAACGGCGUCCGAUACUGGAUGGCUUGAGUUUGGGAGAGGGAUGCGGAAUUCCAGGUGUAGCGGUGAAAUGCGUAGAUAUCUGGAGGAACACCGGUGGCGAAGGCGGCAUCCUGGACCGAUACUGACGCUGAGGAGCGAAAGCCAGGGGAGCAAACGGG